rnacentral:ncRNA from 1 species
ACUGACUUGUGGCAGCCAAGCGUUCAUAGCGACAUUGCUUUUUGAUCCUUUGAUGUCGGCUCUUCCUAUCGUACCGAAGCAGAAUUCGGUGAGCGUUGGAUUGUUCUGCUUCCUCCGUUCUUCGCAUUUCCACUCAGCUAUAACUUGGAGGGUAUGAAAUUGUCUUAUUCUUGUCCUUGCCGACUGACGGCACCUUUCUGCGCUCUAUCAGUGCCGGCGGCACCAUAGUAUGUAAGUACGCUCUUCCGCCGGUGACACCGUGCAUCAGGAAAGUGUGCACGCCGCUAGCUAGAUU